CUACAAUGGCCGGUACAAAGCGUUGCAAACCUGCGAAGGGGAGGCCAAUACGCAAAAAACCGGUACUCAGUUCAGAUUGCAGUCUGCAACUCGACUGCAUGAAGCUGGAAUCGCUAGUAAUCGUGGAUCAGAACGCCACGGUGAAUACGUUCCCGGGCCUU
rnacentral:rRNA from 1 species